AUGAAACAUGGAAGUUGCCAGUCUAGAAAAGUAGGAAGCCUUGUCUUUAGCAUGUGAUCGGGUGGCACAACCAGCAUUUUCCAGACUCAUGAUGAGCUCCCAAUCCCACCAAAUGCCCUGCUCCACCUUGACCGAGAUGCACCCAUAAACUCUUUUUCUGAUACUCUAAAGCUUAAGAGGGACAUUAACCCAGGAUGCUCAGAUUCAACAAAGAAAAAUGUGUCUUGAGACUGAUGACAAAAUUAUGCCCUCAGCUGGGCUCUUAUGGACCAAGACGGAUGACAAAGAAAGGGCAACCAUGGUUAUAAUUCCUCACCUGAAUCUCUGGAAAGAAGCAAAUUGAAAUGCAGAGCAAGAGCUGGAAAUAGAAGGAGAUGAAGAGAGAAAAGAGCUAUCUCUAAUAAAGAUGAUGAAGAGGAAAAGUUCUCCAAAUCUCAGUGGCGAGGUGCAUUCAUGGACACAUACCAAUAGUCCAG